rnacentral:rRNA from 1 species
UACGGAGGGGGCCAGCGUUGUUCGGAAUCAUUGGGCGUAAAGGGCGCGUAGGCGGCCACGCAAGUCGGAUGUGAAAUCCCUCGGCUCAACCGAGGAACUGCAUCCGAAACUGCGAGGCUCGAGUCCUGGAGAGGGUAGUGGAAUUCCCAGUGUAGCGGUGAAAUGCGUAGAUACUGGGAGGAACACCGGUGGCGAAGGCGGCUACCUGGACGAGGUACGUAGACGG